rnacentral:lncRNA from 1 species
CAGUGCUGAGCUCAGUCAGGAAUCUGCAUCCCCUCUAGGCAGCACCUUUCCGCAGCCUUCGGCAGUCACUCUAUCGUAAUCUAACGCUCCAGGACGUGGCCAUAGCACCACGUGACAAGAAACGCUGGUGCGUGGGGCUGAGAGGGGCAGGGCUACGCAUGUAAAGGGUGUGUUCAUUCGCCCAGAGGCGGAGCCUCUGGUAGGGAGGUGGAUCUGGUGGAAGACUUCCAGAAACCAGCAAGAGUAUCAAUUUUACUGCUGUGAACAGACACCAUGACCAAAGUAACUCUUAUAAGGACAGCAUUUAAUUGGGACUGGCUUACAUGUUCAAAAAUUCAUCCUUUGUUAUCAAAGGAGGGAGCAUGGAGCAUCCAGGCAGCAGGCCAAGACGAAGAGAAUCUCAAGUACGAAGCCAGUAUGGACAAGGUUACCUGCUAACAUGGUAAAGCUGUGGAGAAAUCAAGACAGAAGAGAGGGGAGAAGAACCUACACUAACGUGGGAAGGCAAGGAUGCCAAGAAAUUACCACUUUUGGGACAGGAGUGGUGGCUCAGUGGUUAAGAAGAGAGCCCAAGUUCAGUUUCCAGCACCCACGUUGUGACUCAUGAAGUAAUUCCAGUUCCAGGGAAUAUGAUGCCUCUUCUGACCUCUGUGGACACCAGAUGUACACAUGGUUACAUAUACAUAUGUUCAGGUA